rnacentral:snoRNA from 1 species
UGGGAAUGAUGUACCAAAAAAUUGCAUGUAUUACCUGAACACCGUUGAUGUUUCUUUAUCACCAAGAUCUCUGACCCA